UUCGUAGCAGAAGUCGGGGUCU
rnacentral:siRNA from 1 species